rnacentral:lncRNA from 1 species
UUUUAUUAACAAAAAUUUUAAAAAAUUAAAUUCUAACUAAAUUGCUAUUAGAUUUAGUAAAAUUCUUAAAUUAUUUGAAUGAAAUAAUGCAAAUAAAAUAAUUAGAAGUUAAGCGAGUGUAAAUUAAAGAAAUAAAUUUAAUAUUUUUUAACAUUAAUUAUCUAAUCACUAAAUUUUUUUAUUAAAAAUUUGAGUAGUUAAAAUUUUAUUUAUCUGCUAAACUUUUUAUUUGUA